CCUACGGGUGGCAGCAGUGAGGAAUAUUGGUCAAUGGACGAGAGUCUGAACCAGCCAAGUAGCGUGAAGGAUGACUGCCCUAUGGGUUGUAAACUUCUUUUAUAUGGGAAUAAAACAGGGUAUGCAUACCUUCUUGUAUGUACCAUAUGAAUAAGGAUCGGCUAACUCCGUGCCAGCAGCCGCGGUAAUACGGAGGAUCCGAGCGUUAUCCGGAUUUAUUUGGGUUAAAGGGAGCGUAGAUGGCUUGUUAAGUCAGUUGUGAAAGUUUGCGGCUCAACCGUAAAAUUGCAGUUGAUACUGGCAGUCUUGAGUACAGUAGAGGUAGGCGGAAUUCGUGGUGUAGCGGUGAAAUGCUUAGAUAUCACGAAGAACUCCGAUUGCGAAGGCAGUUCACUGGACUGCAACUGACACUGAGGCUCGAAAGUGUGGGUAUCAAACAGGAUUAGAUACCCUUGUAGUC
rnacentral:rRNA from 1 species